ensembl:lncRNA
AGCUCCCCUACGUUGGCCCUGCCUUCCCACCAGGUUCUCCACAACUGUUUCAAGCCACGAUUUAGCUUUUCUGCUACAAGUACCAAAGAAAAGUAGUCCCAAAACUAAGAGCUUUUAGUUUCAUAAUAGGGGUCUUAUUGUGUCCAUGUCCACAGAAGUCACAAGGGAAAUUAUGCUCUCCUGUUCAUCUCUGCCUGGCAGUCUGGACACUGGCUCAGGUAGUUUUCUGUUCAGUGAAACACUGGAAGUCCUUGGGAUGCUGUGAAGUGUGCAUGUGCCUAACACAGGUGAACAUACAAAGAGAACUUAGGCCCUGAUUCUGCAUGUGUGGGCUCCCAUUCACUCUGCUCUGGUUUAGAUAAAAUGCAGUCUGAACAGCACAGCCACGUGCCUGAGAGCCUGAAAAGUGAUCACAAGGCAACUGCGAUGAAUACUAAAUGGAAGAGAGGGAGGCUUCAUUUCUGUCUGCUUUCAUGUGCUUUUUUACCUUCCCUUUUUACCCUAACGCAACAAUUGGAUCUGGCCAGUGUUUCAGAUGAAGAGGCUCUAAGUCCUGGUGGACCAGAGUUGCCCUGGGGACACCUCUACUCUGCUGGAGUAUGUGGAUGCAUUAUCAGUAUAUGACAGCACUAACAACUUCACUUCAGCAUUCGCAGUAUGAAAACACUGCCACUAACGUCACAUGAAGAUGUUAUCUCCACUGCAGCAUUCAAGAGGCCAGAGAGCCUGACACUAAAGUGCUUGCACUGCUGAAGCAGUGUGCAAAUAAGAGCAGUAGCAUUUUUUUUUUACCUGCUAUGCCUCAUUUUGCCUGGGGAAAAUGGAUCCACAGGAGGCUGAAGAAUAAGUCUUUGUAAAUAAACCACUGAGAAUAGCUGCAUUUGAGGGUUUCUUAAUGCUGAAAAAAUUGAUUUUCGUAUGCUAUUCAAAGUUUAAUCCUUCCUUCUUCUCACCUGUAUCACAAAAAUACCAGCUGAUGCAGUGCCACCUGGUACUUGAUAAUAAAGUUUAGAUUGCUUACAGAUUUGUUCUCUUGAGAAGUUACUCUACUAAUGCUGCAAAUAACUCCCUUUCAGACCUCUUUUAGAAAACCAACUUGCCAAUCUAGAUGAAAUCUAUUAAAUGCAAGAUUGUAAUAAAAUUCAAAAUAAUUUCAUGGCAAGUGAGAUAAUUC